rnacentral:misc_RNA from 1 species
GAUGAAGAACGCAGCGAAAUGCGAUAACUAGUGUGAAUUGCAGAAUUCAGUGAAUCAUCGAAUCUUUGAACGCACAUUGCGCCCUUUGGUAUUCCAAAGGGCAUGCCUGUUCGAGCGUCAUUUGUACCCUCAAGCUUUGCUUGGUGUUGGGCGUCUUGUCUCUAGCUUUGCUGGAGACUCGCCUUAAAGUAAUUGGCAGCCGGCCUACUGGUUUCGGAGCGCAGCACAAGUCGCACUCUCUAUCAGCAAAGGUCUAGCAUCCAUUAAGCCUUUUUUUUCAACUUUUGACCUCGGAUCAGGUAGGGAUACCCGCUGAACUUAAGCAUAUCAAUAAGCGGAGGA